GGAGGUGUGGCAGAGUGGUCGAAUGCACCGGUCUUGAAAACCGGCGUGCGUGAAAGCGCACCGUGGGUUCGAAUCCCACCGCCUCCGCCA
rnacentral:tRNA from 1 species